rnacentral:rRNA from 1 species
GGUUACUCCACCGGCUUCGGGUGUUACAAACUCUCGUGGUGUGACGGGCGGUGUGUACAAGACCCGGGAACGUAUUCACCGUAGCAUGCUGAUCUACGAUUACUAGCGAUUCCAGCUUCAUGUAGUCGAGUUGCAGACUACAAUCCGAACUGAGAACAACUUUAUGGGAUUUGCUUGACCUCGCGGUUUAGCUGCCCUUUGUAUUGUCCAUUGUAGCACGUGUGUAGCCCAAAUCAUAAGGGGCAUGAUGAUUUGACGUCAUCCCCACCUUCCUCCGGUUUGUCACCGGCAGUCAACUUAGAGUGCCCAACUUAAUGAUGGCAACUAAGCUUAAGGGUUGCGCUCGUUGCGGGACUUAACCCAACAUCUCACGACACGAGCUGACGACAACCAUGCACCACCUGUCAC